AAUCAGGCUCAGUGGUAGAGCGCCCGCUUUGCACUAUAACGAAUGCGGGAGGUCUAGGGUUCGAUCCCCUACCUGUCCA